rnacentral:rRNA from 1 species
UCGAGCGGUAAGGCCCUUCGGGGUACACGAGCGGCGAACGGGUGAGUAACACGUGGGUGAUCUGCCUUGCACUUCGGGAUAAGCCUGGGAAACCGGGUCUAAUACCGGAUAUGACCACGAGAUGCAUGUCUUGUGGUGGAAAGAUUUAUCGGUGCGAGAUGGGCCCGCGGCCUAUCAGCUUGUUGGUGAGGUAACGGCUCACCAAGGCGACGACGGGUAGCCGACCUGAGAGGGUGACCGGCCACACUGGGACUGAGACACGGCCCAGACUCCUACGGGAGGCAGCAGUGGGGAAUAUUGCACAAUGGGCGAAAGCCUGAUGCAGCGACGCCGCGUGCGGGAUGACGGCCUUCGGGUUGUAAACCGCUUUUGACAGGGACGAARCGCAAGUGACUGUACCUGUAGAAUAAGGACCGGCCAACUACGUGCCAGCAGCCGCGGUAAUACGUAGGGUCCGAGCGUUGUCCGGAAUUACUGGGCGUAAAGAGCUUGUAGGCGGUUCGUCGCGUCGUUUGUGAAAACUUGGGGCUCAACCUUAAGCUUGCAGGCGAUACGGGCGGACUAGAGUACUUCAGGGGAGACUGGAAUUCCUGGUGUAGCGGUGAAAUGCGCAGAUAUCAGGAGGAACACCGGUGGCGAARGCGGGUCUCUGGGAAGUAACUGACGCUGAGAAGCGAAAGCAUGGGUAGCAAACAGGAUUAGAUACCCUGGUAGUCCAUGCCGUAAACGGUGGGUACUAGGUGUGGGGCUCCUUCCACGGACUCCGUGCCGUAGCUAACGCAUUAAGUACCCCGCCUGGGGAGUACGGCCGCAAGGCUAAAACUCAAAGAAAUUGACGGGGGCCCGCACAAGCGGCGGAGCAUGUGGAUUAAUUCGAUGCAACGCGAAGAACCUUACCUGGGUUUGACAUACACCGGAAACCUGCAGAGAUGUAGGCCCCCUUGUGGUCGGUGUACAGGUGGUGCAUGGCUGUCGUCAGCUCGUGUCGUGAGAUGUUGGGUUAAGUCCCGCAACGAGCGCAACCCUUAUCUUAUGUUGCCAGCGCGUAAUGGCGGGGACUCGUGAGAGACUGCCGGGGUCAACUCGGAGGAAGGUGGGGACGACGUCAAGUCAUCAUGCCCCUUAUGUCCAGGGCUUCACACAUGCUACAAUGGCCGGUACAGAGGGCUGCGAUACCGCGAGGUGGAGCGAAUCCCAAAAAGCCGGUCUCAGUUCGGAUCGGGGUCUGCAACUCGACCCCGUGAAGUUGGAGUCGCUAGUAAUCGCAGAUCAGCAACGCUGCGGUGAAUACGUUCCCGGGCCUUGUACACACCGCCCGUCACGUCAUGAAAGUCGGUAACACCCGAAGCCGGUGG